rnacentral:rRNA from 1 species
AUUGAACGCUGGCGGCAUGCCUUACACACGCAAGUCGAACGGUAACAGGUCUUCGGAUGCUGACGAGUGGCGAACGGGUGAGUAAUACAUCGGAACGUGCCUAGUAGUGGGGGAUAACUACUCGAAAGAGUGGCUAAUACCGCAGAGAUCUACGGAUGAAAGCGGGGGAUCGCAAGACCUUGUGCUACUAGAGCGGCCGAUGGCAGAUUAGGUAGUUGGUGGGAUAAAAGCUUACCAAGCCGACGAUCUGUAGCUGGUCUGAGAGGACGAUCAGCCACACUGGGACUGAGACACGGCCCAGACUCCUACGGGAGGCAGCAGUGGGGAAUUUUGGACAAUGGGCGAAAGCCUGAUCCAGCAAUGCCGCGUGCAGGAUGAAGGCCUUCGGGUUGUAAACUGCUUUUGUACGGAACGAAAAGCCCCGGGUUAAUACCCUGGGGUCAUGACGGUACCGUAAGAAUAAGCACCGGCUAACUACGUGCCAGCCGCCGCAGUAA